CAAGUCAUGUAGGAAAGGACCCUUGUGAUCUUUUUAGAUUGGAUAAAUAAUCAUGCAAAGGCCUUUGGAUAUGCACUUGAAGGAGCAUAUAUUUCCUUUAUCAUGGUUGUUUCAAAAGCAUGCGAUAGAGCAGUCUAAGUAGCGGAUAAUCGAUAGCUAAAUGCACAACACUGUCUUAGGGGAUUACAUAAGAUCGAAAAGGAGGAUAAACAUAGAUGUCUUUGUAGGCAUUUAUACUAAUACUAUGUUAUAUAGCAAGGGGCUCCUGCAGCUUGCUUAUAUUGAGUAGACAAUCAGGUGCAAUCCCUUGGAAGUGCAUUUGAAGCCGAAAGCAUAUGCUUGCCCUUCGUUCAUGUGGGUCCGACGGAAGAAGUCGCUCCAGCCUUUAGUGAUGGUGGCCCUUUUGUCAACUCCCUUGAUAAAGCGGGCCGUGACAGUGGUUGUUCCGUCUCCAGUUGUGAUUGGAAGUUCACCGUGGCCAGCAUCCAUGUGUGGGAAAAGGGAACCCAUAGAAAAGUGGACAUUAAAGUACUGAAAACAGUAGUAAAGGUUAGUCACUAUAUCAUUUUAUACCAUGCUAUUAUAUGAAACAGAACAGAAUAAUUGCGAAGGAUUACCAUUCUUUUGCCUUGUGUUGCAAAUGUUUCUGUCAUGUGGCACACAUAGUAGUUAUUAGGCGUGGUGGUGCUGCGGAUGAUCUUUCGUAGUGCACGACCAUUAUGGUUGUAGAGCCUAACUAUGUUGCCCCACACAACGUGGCGACUAAACUCAUCUAAGUAGUGCUUGCAAGGCUCACCUAUGUUAAAUUGCACAAAAUUAUACUUUUCAGUAGUUGUUGCGAGAGCUGAUGGAAUGGGAAGAGUAAUGUAGUUCUUACCACGGAGAAUGUACUUUCCAGGCUUUAGAUGGAUUUUCUUGCCUUUGAACUUUUGGAUUGAGCUUGCUUUGCGUGGGCGAUGAAUAUACUCGUAUCGCUUAUUGUGCUUCCGACAUAGUGGUUCGUCUGUGUUGAAUAGGUAAGGAGAUCAUUGUAAAAGGUUGCAACAGCAGAUAGAGGAUAACAUAAACAAAGAGAGGGGCUAAUUAGCUUGUGUGUAUUAGUGAAAGGCAGAAAAUGGUAUCCAUCGUAU
rnacentral:lncRNA from 1 species